rnacentral:miRNA from 1 species
UCGGACCAGGCUUCAUUCCCCUC